GCACCCGUAGCUCAAUUGGAUAGAGUAGUGGCCUUCGAAGCCAAUGGUUGGAGGUUCGAGUCCUCCCGGGUGCGCCA
rnacentral:tRNA from 1 species